GGGUUCACCUCACCACGGGGUUUGCAUAAUGCACAUCUAGGUCAUCUUAGUGAAGAGACGGAGCGUUUGCAUUUGUGCUGCAUUCACGAUGAUGCGGAGGAAAAGGUGUCGAGGGCUUGUUGCAUGUGGAGCGUGGCCGCGCCUGCAUCUCGGACGAGCCUUCGUGUCAGGAAGGGGUUGCUGCAGGAUGUUUCCCUGUGUUGCAGCAAGUGAUUAGUGAUUAGAGCCAUCUUCUCUCUACAGGCCACUGAGGGGCUGGCAGCCUAAGUGAAUGACGUAUAGCUGCAUCGCAUACUGGCGAGAAAAACACCCUGCACGACUCGGUUGAUGCACAGGCUGCACAGCGCGACGUGUUACCUCCAGCCGGAUAACUAGAAUUUAACCACCGAAAGGCAUUUAGGAAAACCAUAGUUUUUAGAUUUUUGAAUAUGCAUUAGUGAUAUUAAGAUGACUUAAUUUCCCUCAGGCCUUUUAUUUCUCUAACUUGGUUACUUUUGCCUCAUUUGCAGAGCCACAUAAGAAACUGAGACCUGAUUUCAGUUCACUUAGUACUAUUUAAUGUGAUUACCGAAGCUAUAAGCAUACAAUAUGUACGCCCUGCUUGCUGUUCAUGCUCCUCAGAGUCAGACGGUUGCAUUCAUCUCUGCAUAUCUUGUCGUAAAUGAAUGAGAAUGAAGCCUUAAAAUCUGCAUAUAUACAAAUGGAGCUGAACGAUUUGAAAACAGCUGCAAGUUUAAACCUUCUCUUGCUACAGCUUGUCAUGACCCCUUCAGUUAAAGUUAUAUAAAUUUGGAUAUAAAAAGGAUGUAUUAUUCAGCCCUGCGUACAAGCAUAUACAUAAAAUCCCUAAUGGGGGGGGGGGGGUACAGUGUAGCACACAUUGAAUAGGUUUCUUAACCUAGACAGUGGGUCUGUUUUAAUUUGUGAGAGAAGAGACUGACCGUCUGGUCACAAAGUAAAAUGGGUGUUGAGCACCAAAGCCUUGACAUACAGUAUGCAUUAGGUCAUGUUAGACUUGAAUGUACAGCUAAAACCUCAAGUUGAUUGAUUGUAUCUUAUUGGCAACAAUUUAGAUAAUCGAUUAAAGUAGUGAAAAAUUCCCAGGUUUGGAUUCUCAAACGUGGUGUUUGAUAUCGUAAGUUGAAUAUCUUUAGGGUUUCUGACUGUUGGUCGAACAAAACGACAUUUAAAUAUGUCACCUUGGGUUCAGAGAACGUGUCAUGGACAUUUUUCAAUAUUAGCUGACAUUUUAUAGACUCAAUGAAAAUAAUCGAUAGACUAAUCAAAAAUGAAAGUGGUCGUUGUUGCAGCUCUGUUGAGUAUAGCUUCACAGUAGGGAAGAACACUCUGAUUAUUUUAGACCUUGUUUUAAUUGAAGUUUUCAGUGGUGGUGUCAAUCGCCUGCUGGAGCUUCUGGUUUAUUGGUGGCCGGUUUUUCACCUACCUCACCAGCCUGACAGGAGGGUAGGCUUUCAUGCAGAUAAUGUGAGAGCGCCACCAGUAGCCAGGAAGCUGCAGCUACCCGCUCUUCAUGCGGCACCGGGAGCUGUUAUGUUAUGUGUCAUGAUCAGGUAUGAAUAUCUGAAAGGCUGGAAGUUGUACAUAUUUUGAGAAAGUUAGGUCAGGCAAAAUCACAGUAUAUACCUGGAGGCACCGUUGCACCAAUGCUGCUCUGUCUCUAACUUCUCGGGGUGUUUUAGGCUGUUGUACACAGGGCUGCAAAGCAAUAGGAAGGAUUCCUCUAUGACUACUUGAUUUUGAUAUCUUUUUCAUCAAUGUGAUGAAGUGCCUUGAUUUAUUACAACAAGUAUUAAUAUCUGGGCAUAACACUUCAUGUACUAUGAUUAAACUUGUUGUCCAUAAUAUUGACAACAAUUUUAGAAUUGGGUGAUGUGAACUCCAUAUCACCCAAUUCUUUUAGCAGAGGUGGUAAGCCACCCACAUCCCGAUGCGUCUCGUCUUGUGAUCCAUUUAGUCAUGGAUGACGGCCUUAAUAACAGCCACACCUAUUAAAUCCAUAUAACUGUGUUAUUUGCGGGGUGAAACGGAACCUAUGCACGCCUUCCUGAAAAUUACUGUUUUAUUUCAUAAAAGUAUGCAGAAGGAGCCCACCUCCACCAUAAAACGCCAAGAAAAGUUGAAUCCUAUAAAAACUAAAUCCAAAAUGUCUGUUUAAUAAAAUGGGUGAUUUCACGUAGAAAAGCUUCAAAGUGAUAUUCAGCAGUAGGCUGUUACAGAGUAUACACAUUAAACCACCCGGGGCACUUAAUGUCCAUAAUUGCCAAGUAAUUGUACAUGGAGCAGCUCCAGAGAGUAGUGCUUAAAUACAUUCGUGGACCUUAAUUACCUUUUCAAAGAUUAAUGAUAUCAAGUACUUUGCCUGAUAAAAGAAGAGUUAACACGUCUUCGGUUUCAGCUCAUUCUCAUGUGCCUCUUUAGUGUUUUUUGAGCAUGGUGUGUCACCUUAUGUGCUCAGCACAGCUUGAAAAUUUUAGCAUUUAAUGCUUAAGGAAAAAGGAAUGCAAAAUAUACAAAUUAAAUCCAAUGUGGGAUCUGAAAUUGCAGAAACAAAAAAUAUAAAAUGCUCUAAAACAAAUAAAAUAAUAAAUAAGGGAAAUCUAGGCCCUAUAGUGUAAAUAAUAUAAUAAUAAAAUAAAAAAUGAACAUAACUUGAUAUCUUUACAAUAGGAGCAAAGUCUCAGGUGUAUUCUGAAUUUUUUUAAAUUAUAAUUUAAUGUCUUCAGUCGUAGUGCGACUCAAGAAAAGUCCUGUGUACUGUCUGUGCGCUGAAUAAGUGAUAUCACAAUGGCUGCCAGACUUGUAAUUGCACAUGCCUUCAAUACCAGUCAUGUGUUUGUGCCAGGGUUAAUGGAGGGAGUGGAGUCUCGCCUUUUCUGUGGCUUUAUGUAUGAUACGAGGAGGAGGAGGUGGCACACGGUCCUUGUGGAUUUGUCUAUCAUAGAUGGUUUGUGGCUCUUGUGCAACAGGCCGCAGGAGCAGCUGUCACCAUGCCAGCCAGACCAAUCACAAGCGGGUGUUGUAAAUGAUAU